AGCAAGGAUAGGUCAGGCCAAGCCAGGCCAGGCAAGGCAAGGCAAGGUGGGACAAGGCCAGGCAAGGCAAGGAAAUCCUAGGCCAGGCAAGGCCAGGCAAAGCAAGGCAAGGUAAGGCCAUGGAAAACAAGGCAAGGCAAGGCAAGGCCAGGAAAUGCCAGGAAAGGCAAGGCAAGGCCAGGCCAGGCCAGGCAAGGCAAGACAAGGCAAGGCCAGGCAAGGCAAGGCAAGACCAGGCCAGUCCAAACCAGGCCAGGUCAGGCAAGGGCAGGCAAGGCAAGGACAGGCCAGGCUAGGAAAGGUCAGGCAACAAAAAGCAAGGCACGGCAAAGGAAUGAAAGUCAAGGUAAUGCAAAGCAAGG
rnacentral:lncRNA from 1 species